rnacentral:rRNA from 1 species
AGAACGAACGCUGGCGGCAUGCCUAAUACAUGCAAGUCGAACGAACUCUUCGGAGUUAGUGGCGCACGGGUGCGUAACGCGUGGGAAUCUGCCCCUUGGUUCGGAAUAACAGUUGGAAACGACUGCUAAUACCGGAUGAUGACGAAAGUCCAAAGAUUUAUCGCCAAGGGAUGAGCCCGCGUAGGAUUAGCUAGUUGGUGAGGUAAAGGCUCACCAAGGCAACGAUCCUUAG